AUUGAACGCUGGCGGAAUGCUUUACACAUGCAAGUCGAACGGUAGAGGGGGCAACCCCUCGAGAGUGGCGAACGGGUGAGUAAUAUAUCGGAACGUGCCCAGUCGUGGGGGAUAACGUAGCGAAAGUUACGCUAAUACCGCAUACGAUCUAAGGAUGAAAGCGGGGGACCGUAAGGCCUCGCGCGAUUGGAGCGGCCGAUAUCAGAUUAGGUAGUUGGUGAGGGAAAGGCUCACAAAGCCAACGAUCUGUAGCUGGUCUGAGAGGACGACCAGCCACACAGGAACUGAGACACGGUCCAGACUCCUACGGGAGGCAGCAGUGGGGAAUUUUGGACAAUGGACGCAAGUCUGAUCCAGCCAUUCCGCGUGCAGGAUGAAGGCCCUCGGGUUGUAAACUGCUUUUGUACGGAACGAAAAGGUCUCUCCUAAUACGAGGGGCUCAUGACGGUACCGUAAGAAUAAGCACCGGCUAACUACGUGCCAGCAGCCGCCGUAA
rnacentral:rRNA from 1 species